CCAAAAUGUAAACAGCAAGUUUUUGCGUGUGCGGCGAUCUUAUUAAACAUAAAACUAACCACGACAGUAUUAUUUAGUUGUGGUGGAAGCCAAAAAAAUAGCUUGGAGCAUUCAAUAAAGCAGGAUGAAAUUUUUAACCUUCAAGCACGACGCUGACGCUGAGGUAAGGUGUGCUUGUGUUUAAUUUCGAUGAUUGUUUCAUUUUAGGAUGUGAUUUGUGCCAUAUAACCUUUUCUGACGGGGAUUAUUUAGUCGACAUCGUCUGCAGCUGUUAAGCGGUGCAGAGGAAGGGGCUCGCUACGACCCUUCCCACACCCGGACGCUUUUUCCGGGGAUGAAGGAAAUGUUCCCGGUGGGUUGAACUUGUUCUGUUUAAAUUGACUGGUUGUAAUGUAGGUGACCUUUCUCCCGGUAGGUUAUAUGCGCAAAAUCUAACGGUAACCCGUGUUGUGAACGAAUCGGCAUAUGCGGUGCCGGACACUGUGGAAAUUGUACACAACGGGACGAUGUCCAGGCACGACACAAGAGUACGAUUACAUGCAACUGAUCUGCUCAGCGUGCCACCUGAUGCUGGCGUUCGGCAAGACACAGAAGGAAAGGAUUUCGACGUGUGGAACAAGGAUGUGCUGAAUGCGUUUCUGAUCGAUAUCACGUGGAUCAUUCUACUGCGACUAUAAGGGAUACUUGCUGGAUUGUAUUCGUGACAGGGCCGGCCAGAAGGGUGUGGGCAAGUUGACGGAAAUUGUCGCAAUGUACCAUAGCGUUCCGGUGAUGCCAAAAGACGAAGCAGACUUCUCCAGCUACUUAUCCACGCCGAAGGAUGAACGUGCUCAGGGCAGCAAACAACUCGCUGGAGCACGGAGCGCGAAAGGCAUCGUACGCGCAAGGCUUCAUGCUGCUGCGCGAAGCGUAUGUAUGGCGUUGCUUGCUUGUACUUAAACAUAUACAUCUUUGAGUUGUAUGAGUCCCGUAAAUGGUCGUGCCACUUGAAAACAUACGUUCCCAUUAGACCUCAUCAACAGAUCAUUUAAUAAACGACGGCGCUGUAUUGAAAGCGGUUAAUGGUAGACCUCAAAACUGGUUAGCACUUGAUAAAAAGUUCUACACAAGGACACUCCUGGGAACUACUCGUCGAAGCAUCCGGAGCUCGUCCGACGUUUGAUGUCAUGAUUAUCUAAAAUAAUAGGUACAGGUAAAAUCAACUAAUUUGUUAUGAUUUCGAUGUAUUAACGCUUUGAUUCCUUCACUUACAGAUUUACCGGAAGCCGAACAACUAUUUCACUAACUAAUACGAGCUGGAAUAGGACAAAACGUAAAUCCGGAACUGAUUUUUAGCUACUCAAAACGACGCCACUUGUCGACUUGUUAUUGUUCAAUAAAACGCAUGCAAACCAAAUACCUUUGUUGUUUCAUUUUGACAGCAGUUGGAAUGGGUCGACCCCCAUUGUGUGGACUCGCAUCAAUACGGCUACACCGUGACGUCACUGAGCGCUUGUUCAUAUUGGGCUUGUUCUCUGAGUGACGUUUAUACCAAUAAGCCGAGAACAAGCCGAGAACAAGCCCAAGAAAUUUCAUACAAAUUCUCUCUGAGAUUGUUGAGAGG